rnacentral:lncRNA from 10 species
GAAAGGAGAGGGAAGUUGCAUUUUAACCCGAGGACUCAUUAUUUAGCAAAUAUUUAUAGAGCACCUACUGUGUAUCAAGAACUGUGCAAAGGCUGGGAUGUGGAAACAGGUGUGUAAACCAGUUAUUGCGAUGUAAUAUGAUGAUUGCUACAGUGAAGGUGUGGACAGGGCGCAAUGGGCCAGAAAGGAAAAUUCAAUGAAUCCUCAAAGGAAAGGUGAUUUUUUGAACUGACUCUUAAAGGAGAGAGCAUUCCUGGAGGAUGGUGGUGAGCACUGAAGCAGAGGAAAUGGGAACAGCAAGGGCUUGCUGAUGGGAUGGCCUCUUUAAGGGAGGAAGAAGUAAAGAAGUAAGAAAUAAGCCUAGGCCGGGCGCGGUGGCUCACGCCUGUAAUCCCAGCACUUUGGGAGGCCGAGGUGGGCGGAUCAUGAGGUCAGGAGAUCGAGACCAUCCUGGCUAACAUAGUGAAACCCCAUCUCUACUAAAAAUACAAAAAAUUAGCCAGGCGUAGUGGCGGGCGCCUGUAGUCCCAGCUACUCGGGAGGCUGAGGCAGGAGAAUGGCGUGAACCUGGGAGGCGGAGCUUGCAGUGAGCCGAGAUCGCGCCACUGCACUCCAGCCUGGGCGACAGAGCGAGACUCCGUCUCAAAAAAAAAGAAAAGAAAUAAGCCUAGAGAGAGAGUGGAUCACAGAGAGCCCAGUGUGGCCCACUAAAGAGUUUGAACUUCAAAGUUUUAAGCAAAGGAUCAGGUGAUCAGAUUGUGGAAGAUAGCCUGGGGGCGGGGUGAGAGAACCACAGGAAGAUCACUUGCAAAAAUUUGCUUAUUCUACAAAAUCCUCAGACUCAUCUCUUUUGCUUGAAAUAACAUUAAAUUGUAUCAUAUUUCCCAUGCUGUUUAGGCAACUUGAGCCUCACUGCCACUUUCUUUUCUCUAACUCAGACCUGUAAUUUUUUUCAAAGUCACAAACCCUUACAUUUAAGAAAAGUCAUGGAAUCCUAAUUUGGUGGUAAGAUUUUAAUAACACAUUUAAAGCAAUAAGUAUAUAAAGCACAAAACCAGUGGGUGGCCAAACAUUUCCUAUUGGAGGGAGCUAAAUCAUAAAAAUAAUGUUAAAAGGAAGGUAUGCUAUAAGGAUUGUAAUAAAAGUUGUCUCUAUUUAACAUGGCUUCUUAUUUGGGUUACUGUUAAACAGACACGAAUCUAUUUUCUGCCUAUAGGUGACCCCACUUCAGCUGUUAACUUUCUGUCUCAGUGCUUAAUUGUGCUUGGUAAUCAAUACUGUCAGAGGAAGACGGUGAGUGUAUGUAUGACCAUAGAAAGAGAAAAUAAACAGAAGAACCAGAA